rnacentral:lncRNA from 1 species
CAAGAACACUGGGGUGGGUAGACAUUCCCUUCUCCAGGAUAUCUUCUCAACCCAGGGACUGAACCAAGGUCUCCUGCAUUGCAGACAGGUUCUUUACCAUCUGAGCCACACGGAAGCCCAAAGGCUCAAUAAUGUUAGAUGAGGAACAAGGAUUAGAGCAACUAAUCAAUUUCAUCAAGAUCACAGAGAUCUUAAGUGACAGAAUCAAGACUCAUAUGACCUUCUUGACAAUGAAGCCAGCACGAUGUCUCCUCUCAAGGGAAAAUAAACUGAACAGAAAAGUCCUGUAG